AAUAAUUGGAUUGGAUUUGUUUUAAUGUUCUCAUGUGUUUGGUAUAAGUGGAUUAGAGCUGGAAUGGAUAAGAACAAGAAUCAGAUCCGUUGUCAACACUCAGACGCAAACUCACCUCCUCUUCUCUACAUGUACCCGAGUCCAUGGCCUCCACAGCCAACCCCUUCCCCAUCUCACUAUCCUCCAAGCCAACCGCCAAAGCUUCACUCUUCAAGCCCAACAACCCAGCGGAGCUCUCUCUUCGAGGCCAGAGCCACGGCGUCGCAGCUCUUCGGUCGAAGAUAAUGGCCAAUUCAGAGGAUCAACCGCCGAGUAAAACAGGUCCGGCAGUUUCGGCGACUCAGACGCAGACGAUCAACCCUGACUUGUCGCUCAACCCGAUUACGAUGCUAUGUUUUCGUGUUCGAUUUCGGGUUCGCGGCGGAGACGCAGACACAGACGCAGAGGAUGAUUAAUUGUUUGGAGAAGGAACCAAACACCAGCUAUUUUGUCCUAUCCAGCUACUAAUCAGGGCAAACAAACGCGGCCGUAGGGCAAACUGAAGCGGUGGUAGUCACGGUGGAAGAGAAGAAACGGAAAAAACAGAGGCUGCUGCUGUUUCGCUCCAAGGAGGAAGAGAGAAAGGAACAGGUAGGCAAAAAGGGAGAAGGAGAAAGUCAAUGGCUGGCAGAUUGUACAACAGAUUGUAGGCCUGAGGAAGAAUGAAUGGCGCUGUCACACUCAGCAUAUUUACAUGAGUUGGGUAGUUGAGACAGCUUCCAUGCCGAAGGCAAGGCUCACCAAAAUCAGAAGAGAUAGGUUGAUCAUGCGAUUGAUUCAGGAGUGAAUUAAAUAGUCAGGUUGAGGUUACUAUAUAAAUGCAUUAGCUAGCUAACUAGCAACACACACUUGUUCUUUAUUCAUCGCAAAAAACGUACUUGUUCUUUAUUUCACCGCAGAAAACGUACUUGUUCUUUAUUAAUCUUCUAAAGAUAUGGAAAUCAUUUAUUUUCUCACUUUCAUAUUUUUUUUAUUCCCCGCAACUGUGCCAGCACAGAUAAACAAACCUUACGAUAUAGUCAUGCUGGUCAUCCAAAAUCCUUAUAACCAAGGUAGCGCUAGUCCUUGGACCAUACAUGGCCUGUGCCAGUUAAUAAUUGUCCUAACUAUUAUUUUGUGCCAGUUAAUAAUUGUCCAUCAGCUCCUCCAUUUAACCCUCGGAUUAGUAGCGACGUUCAAGCUGCACUAACUAAAGCUUGGCCUGGUAUUUCGGGUAAAGCAGACCUUAAAUUUUGGGAACAUGAAUAUGAGAAACACGGUUCAUGUACCAUAGAUUUAUUACCAACUUCUAAUGACUACCUACUGAAAGGAGUUUACCUGUGGGAGCAAAUCAAGUUUGAUGAUUUGAUGGGUGUUGGUCCGGGUGCCCAAUUUAUGCCAAAUACUCAAUAUGAUGCGAACACGGUGGUGGCGGCCAUCACAAGCAAAUAUAAGGUCAAAACAAUAUUGAUCUGUGCGGAUGACGCCAUAGUGGAUGUUAGGUUUUGUUAUGUAGGAAGUUGGGUACUGGUAGAUUGCCUGGACACCCAACCAGAUCCCCAAACAGUUUGUACGGGUUUUAUUCAGUAUAUUAGAAAGUACUAGGAGCAAGGUAGGAUUAUAUUG